rnacentral:tRNA from 1 species
AGGAUAAUAGUUAAAUAUAACAUUUGAUUUGCAUUCAAAAAUUAUUAAUUUUUAUUAUUAAUUUAUCUUA